GGCGGACGGGUGAGUAAUGCCUAGGAAUCUGCCUGGUAGUGGGGGAUAACGUUCGGAAACGGACGCUAAUACCGCAUACGUCCUACGGGAGAAAGUGGGGGAUCUUCGGACCUCACGCUAUCAGAUGAGCCUAGGUCGGAUUAGCUAGUUGGUGAGGUAAUGGCUCACCAAGGCGACGAUCCGUAACUGGUCUGAGAGGAUGAUCAGUCACACUGGAACUGAGACACGGUCCAGACUCCUACGGGAGGCAGCAGUGGGGAAUAUUGGACAAUGGGCGAAAGCCUGAUCCAGCCAUGCCGCGUGUGUGAAGAAGGUCUUCGGAUUGUAAAGCACUUUAAGUUGGGAGGAAGGGCAUUAACCUAAUACGUUAGUGUUUUGACGUUACCAACAGAAUAAGCACCGGCUAACUUCGUGCCAGCAGCCGCGGUAAUACGAAGGGUGCAAGCGUUAAUCGGAAUUACUGGGCGUAAAGCGCGCGUAGGUGGUUCAGCAAGUUGGAGGUGAAAUCCCCGGGCUCAACCUGGGAACUGCCUCCAAAACUACUGAGCUAGAGUAUGGUAGAGGGUGGUGGAAUUUCCUGUGUAGCGGUGAAAUGCGUAGAUAUAGGAAGGAACACCAGUGGUGAAGGCGACCACCUGGACUGAUACUGACACUGAGGUGCGAAAGCGUGGGGAGCAAACAGGAUUAGAUACCCUGGUAGUCCACGCCGUAAACGAUGUCGACUAGCCGUUGGGAUCCUUGAGAUCUUAGUGGCGCAGCUAACGCGAUAAGUCGACCGCCUGGGGAGUACGGCCGCAAGGUUGAAACUCAAAGGGAUUGACGGGGGCCCGCACAAGCGGUGGAGCAUGGGGUUUAAUUCGUCACUAACCGAAGAACCUUACCCAGGCUUGACAUCCCCGGACCGCCCAGGAAACUGGGUUUUCCCCGCAAGGGGACCGGGAGACAGGUGUUGCAUGGCUGUCGUCGGCUCGUGUCGUGAGAUGUUGGGUUAAGUCCCGAACGAGGGCAACCGACGCGGUGUGUUGCUAGCGGAAACGCGCACUCAGGCGGAACUGGCGGGGGAACUGGGAGGAAGGCGUGGGGGGAGGUAAAGUGGGAGGGGGCGU
rnacentral:rRNA from 1 species